GCGAUAGUACAUCUAAUACGCUAUACAGCCAUGACACGUUUUUUUUAAUUUAUUUUUGUUUUACUGUACCAAGCAACAACAUUGGCUAAUUAGCUAGCAACAAACUAUAAUUAUCUAGAAUGUCUAAAAUACAGCUGUUGAGAGGGUUUCUCAACCAGCGAUUAACAGCGGCUGCUGAGGAGAUAUUCGAGGUAGUUGAACAAACGAUAGCAGAGUACCAGGAAGAAUGUUUCCGUACAAAGGAGGAGAACGUCCGUUUACAGAAGCUGCUGGAUAUCGUCAUUAAACCUGUAAUAAAGUUACAUCGAACAGACCUGCCAGCAGUUCAGCUGCAGUCACAGCAGUCCUCUGUGAUCUGCCCUGCACUCCACUGCCCCUGAGCGCCUCUUCCAGAAGUACACGUACUAGGCUUAUUAAGGCUGGCUCCUCACUGAACACCAGCCCUGAGAAGCUCCUCCAGACACCACAACUGUGGCUAACUGUGGCUAACUGUGGGAAGUGACACAGUCAGUGUCCCAGUCACAGCCUUGCCACCUGCUGUUGUCAAUCCACCAUCCUUGUCAACCCAAGACAUCCCUCUGACUAAAGAUGAGAGGAUGGUCCUGGGCAUCUUGGAGAAGCAGCAACCGCAGCUAGAUGGGCCACAACAAGAACAGUGGAAGCAGCAGAAGCAGACAAAAACAUGUAUUUCCUGUGGUCAGGCCAAGUCCCAAUACCGCAAGAAUGGUUUGUCUGUCCACUUUUUCUAUCAGCGUGGACAGGUGAGGUAUUUUUACUGUUCCACCAAGGUCUUCCAGACUUAUGGUGCAGAGGGCCUCACAAACCCCAAAAUGUAUUUUGAUGACUUUGCUUCCACUGAAUUCUUUCAGGGUGAACUUAAAGCCACAAAAGAACGUGUGGCACAAAAGAAGACCAAAACGAAGUCAGCUGAUCUGCAACCCUCUAGGCAUAUGUGCAGGUUUUGUCAUCUGCAGAUGAAACAAGGCCCCAACAGCCCUCACAUACACACAGGGUUCCCAGGAGUGACAGGCAAAUAUGUUUAUUGUCCUGCAAAAGUAUUUUCGAGGUACCAAAGCCAAGGAAUGGAAAGAAAGAUGACCUGGAGGGAGUUCCUGGUCUCAGCUUUUUAUGAAGCGGAAAAGCAGAGAUGGGUAGCUAACAAGAACAAAUAAAACAACAUUCUCUUUCUCUCUCACACACACACUAGCCCCAAUGUAUAAAAAUUGUAAUACCUUGUUUAUUUUAUGUAUGCUCCAUUUUAUUUGAAGAUUGGAGAUAUCUGGGCCUACAUAUCCAUUAUACAUAUCUAAAUAAUUACUCAAUAUCUAUCAAAUCAAAAUGUGAUUUGUAAUACAGUAUUGCUUGUUAAUGUGUACAGUUCUUGGGAAAAUUCUGUGUGGUUUUGUCUGAGUUGAACAUUUUCUUCCCUCGGUGUGCAAUAAAAGUGCA
rnacentral:lncRNA from 1 species